rnacentral:rRNA from 1 species
UACGUAGGGGGGCAAGCGUUGUCCGGAAUCAUUGGGCGUAAAGAGCGUGUAGGCGGCUUUGUAAGUCGGCUGUGAAAGUCAAGGGCUCAACCCUUGAAUGCCGGCCGAUACUGCAGAGCUAGAGUCCGGAAGAGGCGAGUGGAAUUCCUGGUGUAGCGGUGAAAUGCGCAGAUAUCAGGAGGAACACCAACGGCGAAGGCAGCUCGCUGGGGACGGUACUGACGCUGAGACGCGAAAGCGUGGGGAGCGAACAGG